AUCUUUAUUUCUUACCUCUUCCACCGAAAUGAAAAAAAAAUGGCAGCCAUGGAUGAGCAAACAUUCGGCCAAGCUUUGGAGCUUGAUAGAUGAAGAAACUGAGAUUCGGGCUUAAACCGGAAAGUACGAGGUUAUGGACUAAAAUGAUGUAAUUUGUCGAAAUUGCAUUCGAGAUCACAAAUUGCCAAAUUCAAACCUAGACAAGGGGAAAGCCAAGCAAAUCGACGAAUUCGACUAGUCGUGUACAUUUUAUAAUCCGAGUGCAGCCUAACUAGCUCAAGGAUCACCAGAAGUUAGAGAUAUCGAUCACACUAUCAGCAUUUAUAUUUUUGAAUAUAGCAUGUAUAGGGUCUUAGACUUUAUUAUUUUGUGUCUUUGAGAAUUGGCCAAUUGUAAUGACUCGGGUUGGAAACCCUUCAUUUUGUAUUAAGCCUUGAAUGAUGGCUAAGACUCAUUUUGAUUUAUGAAAGAUGUAUUGUCAUGGUUAAAUGAA